rnacentral:rRNA from 1 species
AUUGAACGCUGGCGGCAGGCCUAACACAUGCAAGUCGAGCGAGCGGCGGACGGGUGAGUAAUGUCUGGGGACUGCCCGAUCGAGGGGGAUAACUACUGGAAACGGUAGCUAAUACCGCAUACUAUCAGAUAUCCCAUAUGGGAUUAGCUAGUAGGUGGGGGACUGGCUCACCGAGGCGACGAUCCCUAGCUGGUCUGUGAGGCUGAUCAGCCACACUGGAACGGAGAAACGGCCCAGACUCCUACGGAGGAAGCAGUGGGGAAUAGUGGACAAGGGGCGCAAGCAGGAUGCAGCCAUGCCGCUGGUGUGAAGAAGGCCCUCGGGUUGUAAAGUACGUUCAGAGGGGAGGCGUUACCGACAGAAGAAGCACCGGCUAACUCCGUGCCAGCAGCCGCGGUAAUUC